rnacentral:rRNA from 1 species
GAAUUAGAUACUCUGGUAGUCCUAGCUGUAAACGAUGAGCACUAGGUGUUGGACCUUCGGGUUCAGUGCCGCAGCUAACGCAUUAAGUGCUCCACCUGGGGACUACGGCCGCAAGGCUAAAACUCAAAGGAAUUGACGGGGACCCGCACAAGCGGUGGAACAUGUGGUUUAAUUCGAUGCUACGCGAAGAACCUCACCAAGGCUUGACAUGCUCGUCGUAUCUCUAUGAAAGUGGAGAGUCAGCUAGGCUGGACGAUGCACAGGUGCUGCAUGGCUGUCGUCAGCUCGUGUCGUGAGAUGUUGGGUUAAGUCCCGCAACGAGCGCAACCAUUGCCCUAUGUUGCCACCCAGGUGACUUGCUUGCAAGUUGCCUGGCGCACUCUUAGGGGACUGCCUGGGAUAACCAGGAGGAAGGUGGAGAUGACGUCAAGUCAGUACGGCCCUUAUGCCUUGGGCUACACACGUGUUACAAUGGCAGGUACAAAGGGCAGCGACACAGUGAUGUGAAGCAAAUCCCGUAAAGCCGGUNUCAGUCCGGAUCGGAGUNUGCAACUCGACUCCGUGAAGUUGGAAUCGCUAGUAAUCGUGGAUCAGCAUGCCACGGUGAAUACGUUCCCGGGCCUUGUACACACCGCCCGUCACACCACGGAAGUUGGUUGUACCAGAAGACGUUGGGCUAACCUUCGGGAAGCAGGCGUCCAAGGUAUGGCUGGUAACUGGGGUGAAGUCGUAACAAGGUAA